AAACUCAAAGGAAUUGACGGGACCCGCACAAGCGGUGGAUGAUGUGGUUUAAUUCGAUGCAACGCGAAAAACCUUACCCACCUUUGACAUGUACGGAACCCUCCAGAGAUGGAGGGGUGCUCGAAAGAGAGCCGUAACACAGGUGCUGCAUGGCUGUCGUCAGCUCGUGUCGUGAGAUGUUGGGUUAAGUCCCGCAACGAGCGCAACCCUUGCCAUUAGUUGCUACAUUUAGUUGAGCACUCUAAUGGGACUGCCGGUGACAAACCGGAGGAAGGUGGGGAUGACGUCAAGUCCUCAUGGCCCUUAUAGGUGGGGCUACACACGUCAUACAAUGGCUGGUACAAAGGGUUGCCAACCCGCGAGGGGGAGCUAAUCCCAUAAAGCCAGUCGUAGUCCGGAUCGCAGUCUGCAACUCGACUGCGUGAAGUCGGAAUCGCUAGUAAUCGUGGAUCAGAAUGUCACGGUGAAUACGUUCCCGGGUCUU
rnacentral:rRNA from 1 species